GGGUUGUGAGGUUAAGCGACUAAGCGUACACGGUGGAUGCCCUGGCAGUCAGAGGCGAUGAAGGACGUGCUAAUCUGCGAUAAGCGUCGGUAAGGUGAUAUGAACCGUUAUAACCGGCGAUUUCCGAAUGGGGAAACCCAGUGUGAUUCGUCACACUAUCAUUAACUGAAUCCAUAGGUUAAUGAGGCGAACCGGGGGAACUGAAACAUCUAAGUACCCCGAGGAAAAGAAAUCAACCGAGAUUCCCCCAGUAGCGGCGAGCGAACGGGGAGCAGCCCAGAGCCUGAAUCAGUGUGUGUGUUAGUGGAAGCGUCUGGAAAGGCGUGCGAUACAGGGUGACAGCCCCGUACACAAAAAUGCACAUACUGUGAGCUCGAUGAGUAGGGCGGGACACGUGGUAUCCUGUCUGAAUAUGGGGGGACCAUCCUCCAAGGCUAAAUACUCCUGACUGACCGAUAGUGAACCAGUACCGUGAGGGAAAGGCGAAAAGAACCCCGGCGAGGGGAGUGAAAAAGAACCUGAAACCGUGUACGUACAAGCAGUGGGAGCACAGAGCAAUCUGUGUGACUGCGUACCUUUUGUAUAAUGGGUCAGCGACUUAUAUUCUGUAGCAAGGUUAACCGAAUAGGGGAGCCGAAGGGAAACCGAGUCUUAACUGGGCGUUAAGUUGCAGGGUAUAGACCCGAAACCCGGUGAUCUAGCCAUGGGCAGGUUGAAGGUUGGGUAACACUAACUGGAGGACCGAACCGACUAAUGUUGAAAAAUUAGCGGAUGACUUGUGGCUGGGGGUGAAAGGCCAAUCAAACCGGGAGAUAGCUGGUUCUCCCCGAAAGCUAUUUAGGUAGCGCCUCGUGAAUUCAUCUCCGGGGGUAGAGCACUGUUUCGGCAAGGGGGUCAUCCCGACUUACCAACCCGAUGCAAACUGCGAAUACCGGAGAAUGUUAUCACGGGAGACACACGGCGGGUGCUAACGUCCGUCGUGAAGAGGGAAACAACCCAGACCGCCAGCUAAGGUCCCAAAGUCAUGGUUAAGUGGGAAACGAUGUGGGAAGGCCCAGACAGCCAGGAUGUUGGCUUAGAAGCAGCCAUCAUUUAAAGAAAGCGUAAUAGCUCACUGGUCGAGUCGGCCUGCGCGGAAGAUGUAACGGGGCUAAACCAUGCACCGAAGCUGCGGCAGCGACGCUUAUGCGUUGUUGGGUAGGGGAGCGUUCUGUAAGCCUGCGAAGGUGUGCUGUGAGGCAUGCUGGAGGUAUCAGAAGUGCGAAUGCUGACAUAAGUAACGAUAAAGCGGGUGAAAAGCCCGCUCGCCGGAAGACCAAGGGUUCCUGUCCAACGUUAAUCGGGGCAGGGUGAGUCGACCCCUAAGGCGAGGCCGAAAGGCGUAGUCGAUGGGAAACAGGUUAAUAUUCCUGUACUUGGUGUUACUGCGAAGGGGGGACGGAGAAGGCUAUGUUGGCCGGGCGACGGUUGUCCCGGUUUAAGCGUGUAGGCUGGUUUUCCAGGCAAAUCCGGAAAAUCAAGGCUGAGGCGUGAUGACGAGGCACUACGGUGCUGAAGCAACAAAUGCCCUGCUUCCAGGAAAAGCCUCUAAGCAUCAGGUAACAUCAAAUCGUACCCCAAACCGACACAGGUGGUCAGGUAGAGAAUACCAAGGCGCUUGAGAGAACUCGGGUGAAGGAACUAGGCAAAAUGGUGCCGUAACUUCGGGAGAAGGCACGCUGAUAUGUAGGUGAAGUCCCUCGCGGAUGGAGCUGAAAUCAGUCGAAGAUACCAGCUGGCUGCAACUGUUUAUUAAAAACACAGCACUGUGCAAACACGAAAGUGGACGUAUACGGUGUGACGCCUGCCCGGUGCCGGAAGGUUAAUUGAUGGGGUCAGCGCAAGCGAAGCUCUUGAUCGAAGCCCCGGUAAACGGCGGCCGUAACUAUAACGGUCCUAAGGUAGCGAAAUUCCUUGUCGGGUAAGUUCCGACCUGCACGAAUGGCGUAAUGAUGGCCAGGCUGUCUCCACCCGAGACUCAGUGAAAUUGAACUCGCUGUGAAGAUGCAGUGUACCCGCGGCAAGACGGAAAGACCCCGUGAACCUUUACUAUAGCUUGACACUGAACAUUGAGCCUUGAUGUGUAGGAUAGGUGGGAGGCUUUGAAGUGUGGACGCCAGUCUGCAUGGAGCCGACCUUGAAAUACCACCCUUUAAUGUUUGAUGUUCUAACGUUGACCCGUGAUCCGGGUUGCGGACAGUGUCUGGUGGGUAGUUUGACUGGGGCGGUCUCCUCCUAAAGAGUAACGGAGGAGCACGAAGGUUGGCUAAUCCUGGUCGGACAUCAGGAGGUUAGUGCAAUGGCAUAAGCCAGCUUGACUGCGAGCGUGACGGCGCGAGCAGGUGCGAAAGCAGGUCAUAGUGAUCCGGUGGUUCUGAAUGGAAGGGCCAUCGCUCAACGGAUAAAAGGUACUCCGGGGAUAACAGGCUGAUACCGCCCAAGAGUUCAUAUCGACGGCGGUGUUUGGCACCUCGAUGUCGGCUCAUCACAUCCUGGGGCUGAAGUAGGUCCCAAGGGUAUGGCUGUUCGCCAUUUAAAGUGGUACGCGAGCUGGGUUUAGAACGUCGUGAGACAGUUCGGUCCCUAUCUGCCGUGGGCGCUGGAGAACUGAGGGGGGCUGCUCCUAGUACGAGAGGACCGGAGUGGACGCAUCACUGGUGUUCGGGUUGUCAUGCCAAUGGCACUGCCCGGUAGCUAAAUGCGGAAGAGAUAAGUGCUGAAAGCAUCUAAGCACGAAACUUGCCCCGAGAUGAGUUCUCCCUGACUCCUUGAGAGUCCUGAAGGAACGUUGAAGACGACGACGUUGAUAGGCCGGGUGUGUAAGCGCAGCGAUGCGUUGAGCUAACCGGUACUAAUGAACCGUGAGGCUUAACCUUACAACGCCGAAG
rnacentral:rRNA from 1 species